GAGAACGUAGUUACUAACCGACCAAUCGGCAACUAUUACGUUUUGAUGAUCUUUAUGUGACAUAAAGUUACGGAGUAUCUGGCUGGUGAAAACGUAUUUGCAUUGUUUGAGGUAAAUUAACUAGUAAAGAUCAAUAAACUGCAUCUAAAAUUACAAAAAUAUUGUACAAUUAUAUUACGCACAAUGGGAAAACGAAAAGCGAGUGACAAUGCAGGGAAUCCAAAUCAAGAUUUGUGUGACUUUUUAAUGGAGUUGGCAAAUUAUGAACGAAAUGUCAGCAAAAAUAUUUACAAGUAUAAUGCAUACCGCAAAGCAUCUAGUACUUUAAGUGCCUUACCUCAAAGAGUGGAGAGUGGUAAAGCAGCAAGAAAGCUGCCAGGAAUUGGUGAAAAGAUUGCAAAAAAAAUAGAUGAAUUCCUUAAUACAGGGAAGCUACGGAAACUAGAAGAUAUUAAUAAAGAUGAAAGCAAUGUUGCAAUUAAUUUGUUAACAAGAAUAUCUGGUAUUGGGCCUGCGAAAGCAAAAGAAUUAGUAGAUUCUGGUAUCAAAACCAUAGAUGAUUUAAAGAAACAUCAAGAUAAACUGAAUCAUCAUCAAAAAAUUGGUCUGAAAUACUUUAAAGACUUCGAGGAAAGAAUUCCUAGAGAAGAGAUACAGCAGAGUGAAAAAAUUAUGAAAGAUGCUAUCAUGAAACUGGACAAGGGGUAUAUUCUAACAGUCUGUGGAAGUUACAGACGUGGUAAAGCUGAAAGUGGAGAUAUUGAUGUUUUAUUAACACAUCCAACAUAUACUUCCAAAGAUAAGGACUCAAAAAAAAAAGUUUCACUCUUGAAGAAUGUUGUUGAAUGUUUACAGAAGAAAAAUUUUAUUGUUGAUACAAUAUCCCUUGGACCAACUAAAUUUAUGGGUGUCUGUCAAGUUCCAAAUGAUCACAUGUUAUGUAGAAGACUUGACAUUAGGCUAGCACCAUAUGAUCAGUAUUAUUGUGCUGUACUUUAUUUCACUGGAAGUGAUCUUUUCAAUAAAAAUAUGAGAGCUCAUGCUUUGGAAAAAAAAUAUACUUUAAACGAAUAUACAUUGCGACGUCUUACUCCUGAAGGAGUACCAGGAGAGGCAGAAGAAAUAACAUCCGAAGAAGACAUCUUUCGAAUUUUGGAGUUACCGUACAAAGAACCAAAAGAUCGGGAUAUUUAAGUGAAACGAUCUGUCCAUGCUGAAUUGAUAUUUCUAUGAAUAAAAUCAUUACUUGCUAAUUUAUUUUUGGUUAAUUAAUGUUAAGAUCCGUCCUAUACAAUGGUUUCUUUUCUUUGCGCACUUUUCAACCUUUUGGUUAAAAACACUGGUCUUUGAUUGUUACACAAAUUUAUGAUGAUAUUUUUUCGAUAAAGUAAGUAGCCAAUUAUUCCCCAUAAUGUUGUUGUCCAUAAGUUAACAGCUAAAAGCAUUGCGUGCGUGGGAUGAGCAAUAUGCCAUGCCCAUGGGAACAAGUUUUUUGUUAAUAUAUGACCCACAUAAAGGAAAAUGGGGUUUGUUCCUGUAAUAUAAAUCAUGUAGAUUGAUUUAUAAUCACAUCCUUUUUUUAAAUGGAUAUGCUUACCAGAAUAUAUAAAAGGAGCUCCACUCCAUAAUUGGCGGUAAUCAAUAACAAAAUAUAGAAUCGCAUAUAAUAAGAAAGCUAAACUAGAACAAGUUAGAACAAACGAUAAUGUCAUCAUUUUUUUACUAACUGGAAUGACUCCUUCUUGAGUUUGGAAGUUGCACAAAAGUCCAGCAACAAUACCCUGAAAUGUAUUUAAGUAUUCUAGUUUCAUAAAUGAAUUCAAAACCGAUAUCUCAAAGUCUAAUUUUUUAACAUAGUGUUUACGCAAAAAGAACUAGAUUUUAUUUAUUUCUUCAUAUUUUAUCAUUUGAAGUUAACGAAAAGUUGCUUACUGUAAAGGCUGCCCAUAGUAACCAUCUAAUCACUCUGGAAUUCCAUUGAUAAUAAAGUAACAGAAUUUUGCCAGCAUGAACACCCAAGUAGACAAUUAAUAUAGCUGAUAUGGUAUUCAUUAGUCCUGAAAUUAAAUUGUAAUGAUUAACAUUCAGAAAUAUCUUUAUAUUUAAAAUAGAAUUUGAGAAGCGUACCUUCAGGAUCAUAUGGUAAAAUAGUACCAUAGACAGAAUCUUUCGUCUUAUUAUACAUAUGACUUCCAAAUAUCAAUCUGUCUAUAUAGCCAGCCGCACCUGCAGUACAGUUUAUGUAGUCCCCACGAUGAUCCAAUGGUCCUCCGGGUCCCAAGUAACCUCUUCGACAGUUUGGUAUAGGCAAAAGGAAAGUAAUUAAAGUGUGAGCGGUCAAAAUGCCUAUCAUAAUCAGCCACUGCGGCCAACUGUCUAAUAUAUCACGAUACGAUGCAAAUUGACCAAACUGGAUGUGGCACAUACAAAGUAUGAUAUAGCCAGUAACUGAAGGACACCAGGAAAACGAAGAUCAUUUAAGGAUUUACUGUGUAUGGAGUUUAACAUUAAUCCAAGAAGUAUUAAUAUUAAGGAUCGCUGAAGACAACGUAAAGUUAUUUUUAUACGUGAAGUCGUAACACGAAGUUCUGCACGCUUUGAUAUCGUUAUAGUCAGACCCAUGAUCCAUGCAAACCUACAAAUUUAUUGAUGUGUUAAGUAUAAGAUAUUAAAUAUAAUAUAUAGCUAACAGUAUCAAAAUAAUGGACAGCUGACAUAUUAAUCGGUUUUUAUGAUUUAAUAGUUUUUUUUAUCAUUGUUUGCAAGUAACUUACCAAGGAAGUACUAAGUCUGCUAUUGUAAGUCCAUACCAAGCGCUAUGAUUAAACCAGACGUAUUGGCCCCCACCAUUAUUGACAAAUAUCAUCAAUAGUAUAGCAAUACUGCAAAAGUAUGCUUAACAUUAUAAUUGAAUGGAAAACACAUAUAAGAUUUGUACAAGAAUUACCCUCUAAAUGUAUCCACUGAAUAUAUUCUAGUUGUCCUAAUCACUGGUUGUGUUACGCUUUCUGUAUCUUGAAGCCUAUCCAAAUCCUGAAAUACAGUUGAGU